UGGGGAAUUUUGGACAAUGGGGGAAACCCUGAUCCAGCCAUGCCGCGUGCGGGAAGAAGGCCUUCGGGUUGUAAACCGCUUUUGGUCGGGAAGAAAGGGUUCUCUUGAAUACGGAGGAUCUAUGACGGUACCGGCAGAAUAAGCACCGGCUAACUACGUGCCAGCAGCCGCGGUAAUACGUAGGGUGCGAGCGUUAAUCGGAAUUACUGGGCGUAAAGAGUGCGUAGGCGGUUGCUGAAGUCUGCUGUGAAAGCCCCGGGCUCAACCUGGGAAUGGCAGUGGAAACUAGGCGACUUGAAUCUGGCAGAGGGGGGUGGAAUGCCACGUGUAGCAGUGAAAUGCGUAGAGAUGUGGCGGAACACCGAUGGCGAAGGCAGCCCCCUGGGCUGAGAUUGACGCUCAGGCACGAAAGCGUGGGGAGCAAACAGGAUUAGAUACCCCCGUAGUCC
rnacentral:rRNA from 1 species